rnacentral:rRNA from 1 species
AUGGCCGGCGAGGACCGCCUGUCCGGACUCCCCGACGAUCUCCUCCGGCGCGUCCUCCACUUCGCCCCAGCCAAGGAGGCCGCGUCCACAACCGCGCUCUCGCGGCGCUGGCGCACGGCGCUCUGGCGCUCCUCGGGCGCCGUGAAUCUCGAGACGCGCGUCCGCAGACUCUACUACCAAGAAGCCGAGGCACGCCGCGAUGCCUUCGUCUCCGCGGCCUUGGCGGCGCUCGACGCCGCCGCCGACGACGGCGGCCGCGUCAAGAGGCUCACCUUACGCAUCGAGUCUGACGGCGACGACACCUCGCUCGACGAUUUCCUGAACCGCAACCGCUACAACAACUACCAGCGCGAGGUAAACCCAAAUGUGGUCGACGUCGUGCUCUCCCACCUCGCCGCGCGCCGGGUGGAGGAGCUCAGGCUGGUCGCCCAGGAAUCCAGCAACGAAUCGUUCGACGACGACAUGGAGAUCUUCUCCUUGAGUCGGGUAGGUGCCUAUAGGCUCAACCUCAACUUACUGCCGCUUGAGACUCUCCGUGUGCUGGAAAUCACCAACUGCAGGGGCCUCAACCAACCGGAGGCCGCGGUGGCCGCGUUCCCGCGGCUGUCGUCACUGUGGCUGCGGCAUUCUGCUCAGAGCCUUGGCUCCCUACACAGCAUCAUCGAUGCCGCGCCAGUGCUCUCUGCCGUCUGCCUCGAGUCCGUACAGAUAGACGACUACGACAUCAAGGAGGAGGACGUACGACGAUCCCUCGCUGCCCAAAGAAGCUGCACUCCUCCGCCUCCGAUCAGCUCACCCGCCCUCCCCCUCGUCGCCGCGGAGAUCCACGCGCCGAGGCUGCGUAGAUUCAGGUACAAGGGGCUUCUCCGGCCGUUCUCAUUCAGUCCACAGCCGCCGGAGUUGCAACAAGUGGACCUCGAAUUUUUCCCGGACACUGACUACAGGAACAAUGAUCCAGACCGUGAUCUAGCAACCUUCUGGCGACUCGUUCGGAGCUUCACCAGCGCCAAAGACAUGAAGCUAAGCAUAAAGCUCGAGGCGAUAGCCGUGGUCAGCAAGGCGAGGCAGGCCGAGCUCCUGCCCGCGUUCUCCAGCCUCGAGCGCCUCGAGUUGCAUGGAGUGCAUGGGGAGAACGUAAAGAAGGCAGCCCUGGGGAUCGCGAAUCUGCUCCGUUGCUGCCCCGUGCUCCGUGACCUCCGGAUCAACCUUACCACUGAGGAGCACGACACCUCCAAAAACCAUGAGCACACUCGUGAAUUCCUCAAAAGGAAAUUCCGAUCUAGCCGCGACAACCCCGUCGAUCGUUUUGAUUGCGACUGCAAUUCCGAGGAAGGAGAUGAUGAAGCCAUCAGUACUGUUGCAUAUGAUGAAGUUUAUGAAAUUCCUGCCUUGAGUCGACACCCGUUCAAGUGCUUGCAGAGCUCAUUGAGUAGAGUGGGUUUGCGAUUCCGGUUUGAGAAGUUGAACUGCCUAGGUGUCAAGCUCAUCAAAUUUUUCGCUGAGAAUGCGAUGGUUUUGGAAGAAAUGCACAUCGACAGUGGAAAUGGAAAGCUUUGCCGGCACGUGAAUCGCAAGAUUGAAACAUGUAUAUAUGUGUGCAGCUGCGGAUCCCACCCCCACCCCAUUCCCCCCCUUCUGCUCGAGAGAGAGCAGAGGCCAGGGUAG